CAGUUAAGCGGUUGCUUCUGGUUUAGUCUAGUUAAUUCUAUCUUCCUAUAAACCCAGGUAUCAUCAACCUUUAAAACUUGUACAAGUUGUUCCCUGCACUGCACUGCCAUUCCCUAAACCUUAUUCUCUGCAGGCUUCGUUUUGUUGAAGGUGGUGGUACGUAUAGGCUAAGAGUGAGUACGUAGCUUAGCUACCAAUGGGACCUGGUGGACCUCCACCUCCUCCAGGACCUCCCGGACCUCCCGGACCGCCAGGUUUCGGCGGCCCUCCUGGUCCGCCUCCUCUCUGCUGUGGCCUUUGUGAUUGUAUUGGUUCAUGUUUGAGUUUUCUGUGCUGCUGCUGGUUAUUGCAAGACUGCUUUGGUGGGCCACCAGGGCCUCCUGGACCGCCGCCACCUCCAUGAGAUCAUCAAGCAGGCUUGAGUUUCCAGAAAUCAGUUGUAUCGCAUAUAUUUGUAGCAAUUUAUGUACAAUAAAUUUGGAUUAGAAAGAGACUUGUAAUUACGAGUCCUGUUGUGCUAAACUCCAUAGUCCAUAUAAGUUGUGAUCAUUCAUUGUUCGGUUUAAUUUAAUGUUGGAGGAUUAAAUGACCACGUACCAUUUGAUUGAGAUCGAAUGGUAAGUGACCACCAUUUCUUUGGAUCCUCGGGUCUAGAAUAAGUCUGUAAUUCCAGUCAUCACUGAAUUAUAAUUAUCUAUUUAUUUUUGUUUCAUUUUAGCAAGAAAUCAAAUCGAAUAUAAAAUUUAAACUAUCGAAUCAAAAUACUCGAUCCAUCUAAACAGUUGUGAGUUAUAUUUUCGUGUCAUUUUCACAGUGCUGUAAAGGUCUUUCAAUUCAAGAAAAACGUUUUGGUAUAAAUGGGCUAUCAUCAACCUUAAGAACUUGUACAAGUUGUUCCCUGCACUGCACUGCCAUGCAUAAAACCUUAUUCUCUGCAGGCUUCGUUUUGUUGAAGAAGGUGGUCGUACGUAUAGGCCUAGUGAGUACGUAGCUUAGCUACCAAUGAGACCUGGUGGAGGUCCCGGAGGACCUCCUGGACCGCCUCCCGGACCGCCUGGUUUCGGAGGACCUCCCGGACCGCCUGGUUUCGGAGGACCUCCCGGACCGCCUGGUCCGCAUCCUCUCUUCGGUGGCUUUUGUGAUUUCAUUGGUGCAUGUGUGAGUUUUCUGUGUUGCUGCUGGUUAUUGCAAGACUGCUUUGGUGGGCCACCACUAGGGCCUCCAGCACCCUUUGGGCCACCUGCACCAGGGCCUCCCGCACCCUUUGGCCCACCUGCACCAGGGCCUCCUGCUCCCUUUGGCCCACCUGGCCCCCCCGGUCCAGCUGGCCCGCCUGGACCACCACCUCCAUGAGAUCAUCAAGCAGGCUUGAGUUUCCAGAAAUCUGUUGUGUUGCAUACGCAGCAUAUACAGUAGUAGCAGGAACGUGUACAAUAUCUUUGAAUUAGAAAUAGAGUUGUAAUUCCGACUAAAUUCCGAGUCCAAAUAAUUGAUGAUCAUUUACUGUUUGAGUUUAAUUUAAUAUUGAAGAAGAAAGUACAGUAAAAAAAAUUAAAUGAUCAGCUACCGUUAAAUUGAGAUCGAACCAUAGGCGACCACCUUUUUUCUGGGGUCAAGAAGAACAAGUCUGUGUAAUUCCAGUCAUUACUGAGUUGUAAUCCUGAGACAGUACUGAGUUUUAAAUUUAUUUAAAUUUAUAAUUUGCUAUUU
rnacentral:sRNA from 1 species